rnacentral:tRNA from 1 species
GGUUGGAUAGCUCAGUUGGUUGGAGCAUCUGGAAUAUAACCAGAAGGUCCUGGGUUCAAUCCCCAGUCUGGUCA